rnacentral:rRNA from 1 species
GACGAACGCUGGCGGCGUGCUUAACACAUGCAAGUCGAACGAUGAACCCGGAGCUUGCUCCGGUGGAUUAGUGGCGAACGGGUGAGUAACACGUGAGUAACCUGCCCUUGACUCUGGGAUAACUGCGGGAAACUGUAGCUAAUACCGGAUACGACCCUCGGCGGCAUCGCCAGGGGGUGGAAAGAAUUUCGGUCAAGGAUGGACUCGCGGCCUAUCAGCUAGUUGGUGAGGUAACGGCUCACCAAGGCGACGACGGGUAGCCGGCCUGAGAGGGUGACCGGCCACACUGGGACUGAGACACGGCCCAGACUCCUACGGGAGGCAGCAGUGGGGAAUAUUGCACAAUGGGCGCAAGCCUGAUGCAGCAACGCCGCGUGAGGGAUGACGGCCUUCGGGUUGUAAACCUCUUUCAGCACAGACGAAGCGCAAGUGACGGUAUGUGCAGAAGGAGGACCGGCCAACUACGUGCCAGCAGCCGCCGUAAGAC